UAUUAUUUAACCAUGCAAAAAUGCCAAUGAAAUCCUUUAAAUGUUAAUGAAAAAUUUGUUAUUUUAUUUAUUUUUUUAAGAAUAAUAACAUUUUAGUCGGAAUUUUAAUAUAAAAAUGGGUUACUUUUGUAUAUAUUUAUAACUUUCUUCUUUAAAAAUUACAUCAAAAUACAAAACUUCAAGCCAUAGUUAGCGCUUAUCUUCGAUGACACGAAAAGAUAUAAACCACAUAGAAUCAGCAAUAAAUGGAUAUUAAAAGAAAAUAGUACGGCUGUUAAAAUAUUUCGACCAUUUUCAUUCAUAAUAAAACUGUAUAAAAUAUUGGGAUGGAGAUUACUCCUGAAUUAUACAGAAAAACCAGAAUAUAACACUUGGAUCGAUCCGUCUGAGAAAGACGUCAGGCCGACGGACUGUUCCAGUCAAGAUGACUCCAAUGUUUCUGUUUUUAUAAAAUAGUAAAGAUUAAAUUUCUAUAUUGCGUUAUAGAAACUGUUGCUUUUCCAGAGAACUAACUCAAUUUCAAGAUCCUGGAGGGAGCAGUCUCAGUAGUCUUCCAAUUACUUUGGCCUGCAGCAACUGAAUUUAACUCUUCUGUUGAAAUCCCAAGACGCACCCAAAGAAGUUCCCGGAUAUAAUCCAUCUAUCUGAUUCUUGGCCUUCCACUGGGAUAGGAAAAUAAAACUCUUAACAAGUCUCUCCUGUGGCAUUCUACUUGUCCAAACCAAAGUAAUUGUGAUCUUUCAAUGUGAAUAAUUUCAGAUAGUUCAGACGUCAGCCUACCAAUCUGGGAGACCAGAAGUUUUCAUGGAACCCAUGAAAAAUUCCUGGGAUAUGUUGAAAUUCCCUGGUAUGUCGGGCCUGAAGGCCUUGUUCGUUACUACUCACUACCCAGUUGACUUCUUAGUGUCCGCAGGGUGGAGAAAGUUAAAAUAAAUAGGCUAAAUCACAAUUUUCCACA